AACUUUUGUGACUUAAAGCUCUGUAUUCACUCAUCUGUACACAUUAAAAUGAAUUGGAUUUACAGCCAUAUUCCAGACACCAAGGCUUAGAACUCCAUCUUUGACAGGCAAGAGGCCCCUUGCUUCUAGGAGUUUCUCUUCACAGAUAUUUCUAGGCCUUCUCUCACAGCUUUUAUUAGUACAUCUCAAAUGUUUCCCUUGGUUUUGGGGGAUCACCCUAGGGAGGCAGCAGUCUCUCACAGUUGUAAUCAGGGCCUCUGCCAACAGUUCUGACAGGCAAGGUCAUUAGCCAAUGUGGAAUGCAGUGCAUUCCUUCAGCUGCCUGUGGCCUCUGGCAGGCUGCUCCCUGAGAACGCCUUUCUCUUCCCUCUUCCCACAGAUCUGUUGGAACUUCUCUACCUGACUGAGCUGCUGAGCCUCUCCUUUGUCCUGUUCCCCACGCCUUCCAGAAUCAAUGUCAUAUUCAGCCUUCAUCAGAAAAUGGUCUUUUUUCAAUGGAUGCUAAAUAACACAGAGACCCACAAUAUUAUGAGACAAUGGACAUUAGAGACCCUGGACAUUGUGAGAGACUUUGGAACAGUCAUUCCUACAUGGGAUGUCUUCACCAAACCUUUCCCUUCAAGGCUCAGGGAUCUAUGUGGAAGAGGAGGCAGAAUGGUCACAAGGAGCCGGAUGUGAUGGAUGAUUCCAAGGAAACUGUCUUCCAGCUACGAUAGGACUGAUGCCCAUAAAAACUCAUGGAGAUGGUGGCAGCCUGCAUAAGACCUGCAUGGGUCCAUACCACACAAAGUUCCAGCACUGAGAAGAGGUGGACACAAAGCCCCACAGCUAACCAAGAGGCUAUUUGCAGUCAAUGCCUGCUAGAAAGUGUUGGGAGCCGCGCCCACAUUCGCCGUUACAAGAUGGCGCUGACAGCUGUGUUCUAAGUGGUAAACAAAU
rnacentral:lncRNA from 1 species